AGAGUUUGAUCAUGGCUCAGAACGAACGCUUGCUGCAUGCUUUAUACAUGCAAGUCGAACGGAGGCCCUAGCUUGCUAGGUGUCCUUAGUGGCGCACGGGUGAGUAACACGUGGGAACAUACCUUAUAGUACGGAAUAACUGCGGGAAACUGUAGCUGAUACCGUAUACUCCAGUAAUGGGAAAGAUUUAUCGCUAUAAGAUUGGCCCGCGCAAGAUUAGUUUGUUGGUGAGGUAAAAGCUCACCAAGGCUUCGAUCUUUAGCUGGUUUGAGAGGACGAUCAGCCACACUGGGACUGAGACACGGCCCAGACUCCUAUGGGAGGCAGCAGUAGGGAAUAUUGGACAAUGGGGGCAACCCUGAUCCAGCAAUGCAGCGUGAGUGACGAAGGCCUUAGGGUUGUAAAACUCUUUCAUCGGUGAGGAUAAUGACAGUAGCCGAAGAAGAAGGACCGGCUAAUUCCGUGCCAGCAGCCGCGGUAAUACGGAAGGUCCUAGCGUUGUUCGGAAUUACUGGGCGUAAAGCGCAUGUAGGCGGAACAGAAAGUUAGAAGUGAAAUCCCUGGGCUCAACCUAGGAAUUGCUUUUAAAACUUCUGUUCUGGAAUUCAGGAGAGGAAAAUGGAAUUUCCAGUGUAGAGGUGAAAUUCGUAGAUAUUGGAAGGAACACCAGUGGCGAAGGCGAUUUUCUGGACUGAUAUUGACGCUGAGAUGCGAAGGCAUGGGUAGCAAACGGGAUUAGAUACCCCGGUAGUCCAUGCAGUAAACGAUGGGUGCUAGUCGUCGGACUUUUGUUCGGUGUCGUAGCUAACGCGUUAAGCACCCCGCCUGGGGAGUACGGUCGCAAGAUUAAAACUCAAAUAAAUUGACGGGGACCCGCACAAGCAG
rnacentral:rRNA from 1 species